CUCCAGGUGGCUCAGUGGUAAAGAAUCUGCCUACAAUGCAGAAGACCCAGGUUCGAUACCUGGGUCAGGAUG
rnacentral:tRNA from 1 species